GACGAACGCUGGCGGCGUGCUUAACACAUGCAAGUCGAACGGUGAAGCGCCUUCCUUUUUGGUGGGUGUGGAUGAGUGGCGAACGGGUGAGUAACACGUGAGUAACCUGCCCCCUUCUUCUGGAUAACCGCAUGAAAGUGUGGCUAAUACGGGAUAUUCUGGGUCUGUCGCAUGAUGGGUCUGGGAAAGAUAUUGUUUCGGUGGGGGAUGGGCUCGCGGCCUAUCAGCUUGUUGGUGGGGUGAUGGCCUACCAAGGCGGUGACGGGUAGCCGGCCUGAGAGGGUGGACGGUCACACUGGGACUGAGACACGGCCCAGACUCCUACGGGAGGCAGCAGUGGGGAAUAUUGCACAAUGGGAGCAAGCCUGAUGCAGCGACGCCGCGUGAGGGAUGGAGGCCUUCGGGUUGUGAACCUCUUUCGCCAGUGAAGCAGGCCUGCCUCGUUUGUGGGUGGGUUGACGGUAGCUGGAGAAGAAGCGCCGGCUAACUACGUG
rnacentral:rRNA from 1 species